GACCCUAUAGAGUUUAAUAUUUUAUUAAUAAAUUAUUUUUUAGAAUUUAAUAUUAAUUUAUUGAUUAAUUAUUUGAUUGGGGUGAUUGAAAAAUUUAAGUAACUUUUUUUAUAUAAAAACAUUAAUUUAUGAUUGUUUGAUCCAUUUUUUAUGAUUAUAAGAUUAAAUUACCUUAGGGAUAACAGCGUAAUUUUUUUUAAGAGUUCAAAUCGAAAAAAAAGAUUGCGACCUCGAUGUUGGAUUAAAAUUUAUUUUUGGUGUAGAAGCUAAAUUUAUUGGGUCUGUUCGACCUUUAAAAUUUUACAUGAUCUGA
rnacentral:rRNA from 1 species